UACGUAGGGUGCGAGCGUUAAUCGGAAUUACUGGGCGUAAAGCGUGCGUAGGCGGUUUUGUAAGACAGAUGUGAAAUCCCCGGGCUCAACCUGGGAACUGCGUUUGAGACUGCAAGACUAGAGUACGGCAGAGGGGGGUGGAAUUCCACGUGUAGCGGUGAAAUGCGUAGAUAUGUGGAGGAACACCGAUGGCGAAGGCAGCCCCCUGGGUCGAUACUGACGCUCAUGCACGAAAGCGUGGGGAGCAAACAGG
rnacentral:rRNA from 1 species